rnacentral:rRNA from 1 species
AAAGAAAGCGUAAUAGCUCACUGGUCGAGUCGGCCUGCGCGGAAGAUGUAACGGGGCUAAACCAUGCACCGAAGCUGCGGCAGCGACGCUUAUGCGUUGUUGGGUAGGGGAGCGUUCUGUAAGCCUGCGAAGGUGUGCUGUGAGGCAUGCUGGAGGUAUCAGAAGUGCGAAUGCUGACAUAAGUAACGAUAAAGCGGGUGAAAAGCCCGCUCGCCGGAAGACCAAGGGUUCCUGUCCAACGUUAAUCGGGGCAGGGUGAGUCGACCCCUAAGGC